rnacentral:rRNA from 1 species
GUCGAGUGCGCGGUUGUAGCAAUACAACUGGCGCACGGCGCACGGGUGCGUAACACGUGGGCAAUCUGCCCUCCGAUGGGGAAUAACCCCGCGAAAGCGGGGCUAAUUCCGCAUAACAUUCCCUGGACUCCGGUUCGGGGAUUCAAAGCAGCAAUGCGUCGGAGGAGGAGCCCGCGCCCGAUUAGCUAGUUGGUGAGGUAACGGCUCACCAAGGCUAUGAUCGGUAGCUGGUCUGAGAGGAUGGCCAGCCACACUGGAACUGAGACACGGUCCAGACUCCUACGGGAGGCAGCAGUGGGGAAUCUUGCGCAAUGGGCGAAAGCCUGACGCAGCGACGCCGCGUGGGGGAUGAAGCUUCUCGGAGUGUAAACCCCUUUCGAUCGGGACGAAUGCCCGCAAGGGAGUGACGGUACCGGUAGAAGAAGCCCCGGCUAACUACGUGCCAGCAGCCGCGGUAAGACGUAGGGGGCCAGCGUUGUUCGGAAUUACUGGGUGUAAAGGGUUCGUAGGCGGUGUGGCAAGUCGGGAGUGAAAUUUCUGGGCUUAACUCAGAACCUGCUUCCGAAACUGCUGUGCUCGAGUGUGGGAGAGGCGCGUGGAAUUGCAGGUGUAGCGGUGAAAUGCGUAGAUAUCUGCAGGAACACCCGUGGCGAAAGCGGCGCGCUGGACCACUACUGACGCUGAGGAACGAAAGCUAGGGGAGCAAACAGGAUUAGAUACCCUG